CGUAGAUCUAGUAGGAUUUUCAGUCCUCCUGAGAGAUACUUAGGUAUCAUAUAGAAGAUAUAGAGAAAAUAUUUCCUGUUGAAAAUGGGCUAUAUGGAGAUGACCCCAAAACCUACAAUGAGAUGAUAUUAGAUAUCAACUUCGAGAAAUAGUUAGAGACAAUGAAGUCAGAGAUUGACUCAAUGCAGUCAAACCCAGUCGGGAUCUUAGUAGAUCUACCAGA
rnacentral:lncRNA from 1 species